GGCAGCAUGUUGGUGACUAUUGCGCGCAUUGCAGCGCAGCCGGCAUUGCAGGCCAUGUCGGGUGAUAGUGACGGCACGCCCUUCGGAUUCGUAAGCACUUCCAGUCGCGAGGAAGGCCGGUGUAAGUAAUAGCUUGCCAUUGCUUGACGUUACGCGACAGAAGAAAGCACUGGCUACUUCCGUGCCAGCAGCCGCGGUAAUACGGAGGGUGCGAGCGUUAAUCGGAACUACUGGAGUAAAGCGCAUGCAGGUGGUUUGUUAAGUCAGAUGUGAAAGCCCGGGGCUCAACCUCGGAAUAGCAUUUGAAACUGGCAGACUAGAGUACUGUAGAGGGGGGUAGAAUUUCAGGUGUAGCGGUGAAAUGCGUAGAGAUCUGAAGGAAUACCGGUGGCGAAGGCGGCCCCCUGGACAGAUACUGACACUCAGAUGCGAAAGCGUGGGGAGCAAACAGGAUUAGAUACCCUGGUAGUCCACGCCGUAAACGAUGUCUACUUGGAGGUUGUGGCCUUGAGCCGUGGCUUUCGGAGCUAACGCGUUAAGUAGACCGCCUGGGGAGUACGGUCGCAAGAUUAAAACUCAAAUGAAUUGACGGGGGCCCGCACAAGCGGUGGAGCAUGUGGUUUAAUUCGAUGCAACGCGAAGAACCUUACCUACUCUUGACAUCCAGAGAACUUUCCAGAGAUGGAUUGGUGCCUUCGGGAACUCUGAGACAGGUGCUGCAUGGCUGUCGUCAGCUCGUGUUGUGAAAUGUUGGGUUAAGUCCCGCAACGAGCGCAACCCUUAUCCUUGUUUGCCAGCGAGUAAUGUCGGGAACUCCAGGGAGACUGCCGGUGAUAAACCGGAGGAAGGUGGGGACGACGUCAAGUCAUCAUGGCCCUUACGAGUAGGGCUACACACGUGCUACAAUGGCGCAUACAGAGGGCGGCCAACUUGCGAAAGUGAGCGAAUCCCAAAAAGUGCGUCGUAGUCCGGAUUGGAGUCUGCAACUCGACUCCAUGAAGUCGGAAUCGCUAGUAAUCGUGGAUCAGAAUGCCACGGUGAAUACGUUCCCGGGCCUUGUACACACCGCCCGUCACACCAUGGGAGUAGAGUGCAAUACGAAGUCGAGGAGUAAGUCGUAACAAGGUAAUCCAUGCUAGAGUUGGC
rnacentral:rRNA from 1 species